GACAGUUCGGUCCCUAUCCGUCGUGGGCGUAGGAAAUUUGAGAGGAGCUGUCCUUAGUACGAGAGGACCGGGAUGGACAUACCUCUGGUGUACCAGUUGUCGUGCCAACGGCAUAGCUGGGUAGCUAUGUGUGGACGGGAUAAGUGCUGAAAGCAUCUAAGCAUGAAGCCCCCCUCAAGAUGAGAUUUCCCAACUUCGGUUAUAAGAUCCCUCAAAGAUGAUGAGGUUAAUAGGUUCGAGGUGGAAGCAUGGUGACAUGUGGAGCUGACGAAUACUAAUCGAUCGAAGACUUAAUCAAAA
rnacentral:rRNA from 1 species